rnacentral:rRNA from 1 species
GACUGCUAUCAGAGUGAGAUUAAGCCAUGCGAGUUAACGUAGCAAUACGUGGCGCACGGCUCAGUAACACGUAGUCAACAUGCCCAGAGGACGUGGAUAACCUCGGGAAACUGAGUCUAAACCGCGAUAAGUGAGGAUUUCUGGAAUGGAUCCUGACUAAAAUCUAUAUGGCCUCUGGAUUGGACUGCGGCCGAUCAGGCUGUUGGUGAGGUAAUGGCUCACCAAACCUGUAACCGGUACGGGCUCUGAGAGGAGGAGCCCGGAGAUGGGCACUGAGACAAGGGCCCAGGCCCUAUGGGGCGCAGCAGGCGCGAAACCUCUGCAAUAGGCGAAAGCCUGACAGGGUUACUCUGAGUGACUUUCGCUAAGAAAGUCUUUUGGCACCUCUAAAAAGGGUGCAGAAUAAGGGGUGGGCAAGUCUGGUGUCAGCCGCCGCGGUAAUACCAGCACCCC